AUGGCUCCGGCCGCCGCCGCCCCCUUGACCGUCCUCGGUGACGACCUCCUGCAGGAGGUCUUCAUCCGCCUCCCCGCCCCCGCCGACCUCCUCCGCGCCGCGGCCGCCUGCAAGCCCUUCCUCGGCGCCGUCCGCUGCGCCCGUUUCCUCCGCCGCUUCCGCCGCCGCCACGCCUCCACCUUCCCGCCCCUCCUCGGCUGCCUCGUCCUCAGAUGCAACCGCGGCCACCUCCACCACCAGGAGCCCAACCCCGCCCGUCUCCUAACACCCUCCGCCGCCGCGCGUCGGGUCGCCGACCGCGGCGACUUCGCCCUAUCCUUCCUCCCCCACCGCACAUGCUACUGCGGCGCCAUGUGGCAGGUCCUGGACUGCCGCAACAGCCGCCUUUUGUUGAGUACUUGGGUGUCGAGGCAGCUCAUGGUCGCCGACCCAUUGACCCGCCAUUGGGUCUCACUCCCUAUGCUCCCCUCCCUAAGCUUCGUAGGGUAUGGCCUCGUCGCCGAUCACGGGGACUCAUCGGUGUUCCAAGUGGUGUGUAUUUCACGAGAAGGCGCCUCCUUGCGCGUCUUUCUCCUAUCCUCCGGUGAGCACCGUUGGGACGAAGUCGCUCGCUUUGCAAACCAAUCCAACUUUGCCUGUACUCGUGCAAUGCAAGCGAACAAAUCGUUGUACUGGAAGCUUGAGGGAGGAGAGCGGAUGGUCGCGUUCAACACAUUGGGGAUGGAAUUCUUUGUCAUAGACCUCCCGCCUGUCUUACGGUAGCGCAGCUUCGACAUCAUUGAGAAGGGAGAGGAGGAUGACGGUGGAAUCUAUAUACUCACAAUGCGUGAUUUCUACAUUGAGACUUGGGUGGGUGUGAAGACCAACACCGGCUCGAGAGCAUGGAAGCUGUUGGAGAAGUCUGUGAGGUUCCGAAGAGUUUUACAUGGAGGAUGGCAGGAUAUCAUCGGGGUGGUCGCCGGUGUUCUGUUCUUGCGACAUCAUGCUGGCUUGGUCUCCAUUGAUCUUGACACUAUGAGGCUUCGGAGGUUGCCUGAGAGGGAGGAUGGUCCGCUGGGACAGAUAUAUCCUUACACAAUGGCAUGGCCGCCUUCGUGUUUGAACCCUACUGAACAAGGUGCUUGA